AUGUUUUAUCCAAAAACAAUGUAGAAAUAAGAAAAUGAAAGAGAAGGAACAACAAAUUUGUUCGCCAAUCUCUUAUGUCGGAAAUGAGUGGUCUCGUAACAACUCCAAGUCGCAGAAAAAGCUUUAAAAUACAGUAAAAAAAACACACGACAAAGCACAUACUAGCAAAAGUAACUAAAAAGUUAAUUCUUGAUUUUUUAAAGAAUUACAACAACUUGAUUAAUUUAGUCAGUUUGGGACACAAACAUAAGUCAAUAAGACUUUUAAUUCAUAUACUCUUUAUAACAUAGCCUAUGUUUGAGAUGACCAAACAAAAGUUGAUUCAACUAACUCCACAAUAUUUUUGUUUUAUGGUUUCUUUCCCUUAACUUGACACCAACCACUUGUCUCUCUAUCUAUAGAUUCUAUACAUAUAUACUCCCUCCGUCCCGGGCUACUCGCUCAUUUCCUUUUCGGCUCGGAGAUCAAACUCCGUCUCUCAAUCUCUACUCUUUCUAUCUAUUGAAAUUCUCAUACAUUUUCGAUAAUCAUGUCAGUCUUGCUAUAGAGGAAAAUUCGCCGGUAAAUAUAUCUGUUUAUUUUUUUUUCAUUUAGAACUAGAAUACAUAUGACAUAUCCAUAUUGACAUGUCAUGUUAAUUUGAUUCAUCCAAUUUUAAUUUUCAAAAAAUGUCUCAAUUUUGGUGUGUUGUAUGAGUUGAUCAAGAAUGCUGCAUACAUUGGCACGCCGGGGAAGGGCAUCCUCACUGCGGACGAGUCCACCGGCACAAUCGGAAAGCGUUUCGAAAGCAUCAAAGUCGAGAACACCGAGGCUAACAUGAGGGCGCUGCGUGAGCUUCUCUUCACCGCCCCCCGGCGUCCUCCCAUUCCUCAGCGGAGUCAUCCUCUUUGAGGAGACUCUUUAUCAAAAAACUGCUUCUGGGAAGCCCUUUGUCGACGUGAUGAAGGAAGGGGGCGUCCUCCCAGGCAUCAAGGUCGACAGGGGCACGGUGGAGCUCGCCGGCACCGACGGUGAGACCACCCGACGAUCUGGCGAAGUGGUGCCAGCAGUACUACACAGCGACUCCAUCUAGCGGUGCGACGGAGCCCGAGAUUCUGAUCCUCGUCCCGAUCGACGGAGCCCGAGAGUCUUCAUGUUAAGGAUUAUAAGUAUUAGGUGAAAAUUGAAGAUUGUGUUUCUAUUUCCUUCAUUGCUUAAUUUGUUAUGUGUUUUUACUGAAUUUUGUAGGAUUUUUAACCUUUAGUUCUAAUAAAUUUGAGCUAUAUAGUAAUCAUUUAUGUAAA